ACGCACGCUGGCGGCGUGCUUAACACAUGCAAGUCGAACGGAAAGGCCCUGCUUUUGUGGGGUGCUCGAGUGGCGAACGGGUGAGUAACACGUGAGUAACCUGCCCUUGACUUUGGGAUAACUUCAGGAAACUGGGGCUAAUACCGGAUAGGAGCUCCUGCUGCAUGGUGGGGGUUGGAAAGUUUCGGCGGUUGGGGAUGGACUCGCGGCUUAUCAGCUUGUUGGUGGGGUAGUGGCUUACCAAGGCUUUGACGGGUAGCCGGCCUGAGAGGGUGACCGGCCACAUUGGGACUGAGAUACGGCCCAGACUCCUACGGGAGGCAGCAGUGGGGAAUAUUGCACAAUGGGCGGAAGCCUGAUGCAGCAACGCCGCGUGCGGGAUGACGGCCUUCGGGUUGUAAACCGCUUUCGCCUGUGACGAGGCGUGAGUGACGGUAAUGGGUAAAGAAGCACCGGCUAACUACGUG
rnacentral:rRNA from 1 species